GACGAACGCUGGCGGCGUGCUUAACACAUGCAAGUCGAACGGAAAGGCCCUGCUUUUGUGGGGUGCUCGAGUGGCGAACGGGUGAGUAACACGUGAGUAACCUGCCCUUGACUUUGGGAUAACUCCAGGAAACUGGGGCUAAUACCGGAUAGGAUCUCCUGCUCCACGGUGGGGGUUGGUAAGUUGCGGCGGUUGGGUAUGGAGUCGCGGCUUACCAGCUUCUUGGUGGGGUAGUGGCUUUCCAAGGUUUCGACGGGUAGCCGGCCUGGCAGGGUGACCGGCCCCAGUGGGACAGGGGUGGGCCCAGUCGCGAACGGUAGGCAGCGGGGGAGAGUAUUGCGCAAUGGGCGGAAGCCUGAUGCAGCGGCGCCGCGUGCGGGAUGACGGCCUUCGAGUUGUAAACCGCUUUCGCCGGUGACGAGGCGUGAGUGACGGUAAUGGGUAAAAAAGCACCGGCUAACUACGUG
rnacentral:rRNA from 1 species